rnacentral:tRNA from 1 species
AUUAAGGUGGCAGAGCCCGGUAAUUGCGGGAGGCCUAAAACCUUUACCCCCGAAGGUUCAAAUCCCUCCCUUAAUU